UCCUGUUAGGGGCUGGGGGUGGGGAGCGAGUAUUUUCCCUUUAUUGGGGUUUGCUUUGUUAAUUGGUGUUUGAAGAAACCCCAUUUCUUUCAUAGUUGAAGCUAAGCAGAAUUAAUGUUAAUUAAAAAAUCAUGUUAGCAUUCCCAGAGCACAUUCAAGCCAUUAGUUGGGAAAAGCCUUGUCCAAAACACUUCUCUCAUGGCUUUGUUUGUAUGGGGAACUGACCGGUGAGGAGUUUCACCAGGACAAGAGAGGGAGCUGCCAGUUUAUUUCUGGAACAUAGAAGGAUGUGUUUCAAAAGACACUCAAAAUAAAGAACACACCAAAAUGUACCGAAAGUGGUUUGGUUUUCUGUUUUUUUAAAGCAAGGAUGGAGCCAUGCUUGAAACCUGUAAAACAGGAUGCUGUACUCGAGUGUGUGUUGGGUGGAAAUGGGUAAGGAAGGGUGAGCCUUGGCCUGUGAUUGUCAGUAUUCUAAAAAAUGUACAGUUUUUAAACUUCACUGUUUGAAGCAGACUAUCUUUCUUUGCCUGUAGAAAUCUGUACGGUGGUCUUUCCAUUUAAUCUUCUUUAAGGAUUAUUUUACUUCACACAGAGAGGACUUCAAUAAAUAGAUACAUUGCCAUCUAAUCCCUGAGGUCUGUGUAUUUCCUUCGGGUAUAAUUAAUUUCGGUGGCUCACUAGACCUAAACAACCACCUUAGACAGUACUGGGGGGAAAAGCAAAAUCCUGAAUAUAUUUUUCUGCGCAUUCUGGAGCCCACUGAUUAUUUUUUUUAGGUAUGAGUUACAUAUUAUAGGAUGAGAAUGUGUAAUAUUGAGUUACAUUUAGGUAGAAGUCAACUGUCACUAACAGCCAUUCUGAAACGUGAAAUGACUUUCCAACUCAAUGAAAAUAAUCAUUUGAUUAUUCAUUAAUGUAUUCCUCAUUUCAUUUUAAAAACAUCUGAAGAGGCUUAUAACGAAGAUUACAUAGAAAAUCAGUCUGAUGGUGUAAACCCAGAAAUUGCAAAUGGGAUCUGCAGAAAGAGGUGGUAGCAAACGUGCUAAUGUGGCAGGCUAGUGCGGAUGUUCCAACUGAGCAUCCAUUUUGAUUCUGAGCUUCCUGAAAGGCAGAAUUAGAAGGGAAACAUUCUUGAAUUAUUUCCAUUAGAAUUGAAGAAACACAAACAAAUUCUUAUUUGAACACAAGUUUUUCUGGCACUAAAUUCUAAAGGAAAGAAAUCUCUUCACAUGUGCUUUUUUAAAGCAUGUGAUUUCUCUUUUGAAAAUUAUUUUUAGGCACACAAAUGAUUUAUGAAUACAUUUAAACAACACAGAAGUAUGUAGAUUAAGAAGUUCAGGUUCUCCUUUACCCUUUCAACUUCACCCUCCCACCUGGAGUCUGGUGUGUGACAUCUCUGAACUUUUUCUAAGACCCCCUUUAUUUCCUAGCGCUUGCCCCAUGUGUACCAAAUACAUCAUAUACAGUGAUCAUAUAGAUGGAUUAUUCUUCAGCUUACUUUUAUUUAUUUAUCUAUGCUUUGAUGAUCAUCCAUAUCAAUAUAAAUAGUGCUAUUUUGUUUUGUAAAACUCCUAUAUGGAUGUUCUAAGAUUUACCAAAACAUUCUCCUAUGUUUGAGUUAUUUGCAAUUUUUCUUCCUUCGUUUGUUUUUUUGAGACAGGGUUUGGCUCUGUUGCCCAGGCUGGGGUGCAGUGGCAUGAACAUAGCUCACUGCAGCCUUGACCUCCUGGGCUCAAGCGAUCCUCCCAACUCAGCCUCCCAAGUAGCUGAGGCUGGCUAACUUUUAAAUUUUUUGUAGAAACCGGGGUCUUGCCAUGUUUCCCAGAAUGGUCUCAAACUCCUAGGCUCAAGUGAUUCUCCCACCUUGGCCUCCCAAAGUGCUGGGAUCACAGGUGUGAGCCACAGUACCCAGCCACAAUUUUUGAAUAUUACAAAUAAUGCCAUAAUAAACACCAUGUGCAUGUGUUUAAAAAUUUUUGUUUGGUGGAUGUGAUAGACACUUAGAAGUAGGAAAACAGGGUCAGAAGGUAUAUGCAUAACAAAAAUGACAAAGGAAGACUUUGUGAUUAAGGGCAAUGAGUUCUCAAAAUCAGUAAUUCUCGAA
rnacentral:lncRNA from 10 species